CCUACGGGAGGCAGCAGUGAGGAAUAUUGGUCAAUGGACGCAAGUCUGAACCAGCCAUGCCGCGUGCAGGACGACGGCUCUAUGAGUUGUAAACUGCUUUUGUCCGGGGACAAACGCAGCCUCGCGUAUCUGUCUGAAAGUACUGUACGAAUAAGCAUCGGCUAACUCCGUGCCAGCAGCCGCGGUAAUACGGAGGAUUCAAGCGUUAUCCGGAUUUAUUGGGUUUAAAGGGUGCGUAGGCGGUCGGGUAAGUUAGAGGUGAAAUCCCGGGGCGCAACUUCGGAAUUGCCUUUGAUACUGUUCGGCUAGAGAUGUGGAGCGGUAGGCGGAAUGUGUGGUGUAGCGGUGAAAUGCUUAGAGAUCGUGCAGAACACCGAUUGCGAAGGCAGCAUACC
rnacentral:rRNA from 1 species